ACGACCUUACUUGAACAGGAUCUGUUCUUUAGGCUCGUACCUCUGUAUCCUUUAGCACAAAGGAGAUAGGAUCUCAAGUUUGGUUGACGAAUCAUGGCCUUGUGACCAGAGCGUGAUUAACGGCUUCCGGUCUCCUCCGGACCAGAUUGAAGCAGUAGAGGAUCGUUCUCAGUCAGUGUCAGUGUUUCAUCUUGGCUGAGAUGGUCACAAGGUUGUCCGACGGACU
rnacentral:snoRNA from 1 species